UAAUGAAUAAAUCUAAUUAAUUAACGACGUGCAAGAGGGUUGUCCAGCAUUUGCGGGCUGGACGAGCAGACGGCAGUGCUUAGACGGAUCCUCGCUCAAAAAUCAGCUAAGUUUAGUACAGCAACAAACCGUGAAGCCCACGAUGAGUUUUUCAACCUUUGUAUGUUGACGCUGUUGUUCAGCCCAGCACAGGCUCUCCCUUUCAGACGCUGAGAACAUCUGACUGUUCAUUCGGGGGGAAGAAGAAAGCCUUCUAAAGUAUUCAAAGAGCCUGGAAUAAAGUCCACAAAAGAUGGAAGGAUACCUGCUCCAGGUCCUUCUCCUCCUCCUGAAUGUCGAAGGCCAGCUCCUGCUGCUCUCUCCCUGCCUGCAAACCACAGAGACGCAGGCUGUUCACUCCCAUAUGCAGACAGCAAUGCUGGAAGAGUGGGGGAUCAUAAACCACAUAAUGGGCAGGGCAGGGCUAUUGGGGGCU